rnacentral:rRNA from 1 species
AUAACGGUCCUAAGGUAGCGAAAUUCCUUGUCGGGUAAGUUCCGACCCGCACGAAAGGCGUAAUGAUUUGAGCGCUGUCUCGACAAUGCAUCCGGUGAAAUUGAAGUACCAGUGAAGAUGCUGGUUACCUGCGCCAGGACGGAAAGACCCCAUGGAGCUUUACUCCAGCUUGAUACUGGGAUUCGGUAUUGCAUGUACAGGAUAGGUGGGAGGCUAAGAAGCAUGGACGCCAGUCUAUGUGGAGCCAAUGUUGGGAUACCACCCUUGCGAUAUUGGGUUUCUAACCUGCAGCCGUGACCCGGCUGGGGGACAAUGUCAGGUGGGGAGUUUGACUGGGGCGGUCGCCUCCGAAAGGGUAUCGGAGGCGCUCAAAGGUUCCCUCAGAAUGGUCGGAAACCAUUUAGAGAGUGCAAAGGCAGAAGGGAGCUUGACUGUGACACCGACGGGUGGAGCAGGUACGAAAGUAGGACUUAGUGAUCCGGUGGUAGAAAGUGGGAUUGCCAUCGCUCAACGGAUAAAAGCUACCCUGGGGAUAACAGGCUUAUCACUCCCAAGAGUUCACAUCGACGGAGUGGUUUGGCACCUCGAUGUCGGCUCAUCGCAUCCUGGGGCUGUAGCAGGUCCCAAGGGUUGGGCUGUUCGCCCAUUAAAGCGGUACGCGAGCUGGGUUCAGAACGUCGUGAGACAGUUCGGUCCCUAUCUGUCGUGGGCGCAGGAUAUUUGAUGGGAGCUGUCCCUAGUACGAGAGGACCGGGACGGACGUACCUCUGGCGCACCAGUUGUUCCGCCAGGAGCAUAGCUGGGCAACUACGUACGGAUCGGAUAAACGCUGAAAGCAUCUAAGCGUGAAGCCGACCCAAAGAUAAGAUAUCCCAUUGUUUCAAACAAGUAAGACCCCUUGAAGACUACAAGGUUGAUAGGCACGAUGUGUAAGUGGAGCGAUCCAUUCAGCAAGUGUGUACUAAUAGAUCGAGGGCUUGACCAC